AAAUUGAAGAGUUUGAUCAUGGCUCAGAUUGAACGCUGGCGGCAGGCCUAACACAUGCAAGUCGAGCGGUAGCACAGAGAGCUUGCUCUCGGGUGACGAGCGGCGGACGGGUGAGUAAUGUCUGGGAAACUGCCUGAUGGAGGGGGAUAACUACUGGAAACGGUAGCUAAUACCGCAUAACGUCGCAAGACCAAAGUGGGGGACCUUCGGGCCUCAUGCCAUCAGAUGUGCCCAGAUGGGAUUAGCUAGUAGGUGGGGUAACGGCUCACCUAGGCGACGAUCCCUAGCUGGUCUGAGAGGAUGAUCAGCCACACUGGAACUGAGACACGGUCCAGACUCCUACGGGAGGCAGCAGUGGGGAAUAUUGCACAAUGGGCGCAAGCCUGAUGCAGCCAUGCCGCGUGUAUGAAGAAGGCCUUCGGGUUGUAAAGUACUUUCAGCGGGGAGGAAGGCG
rnacentral:rRNA from 1 species